UUGGAAAAGUCAUGUUUCAUG
rnacentral:piRNA from 1 species